AUUAAACUAUGAAAAAUAUACACCUAUUUCUUUUCCAGCCCUUCCUGAAUGAGAAUGCAUUUGGGCUCUCUGCCCAGUUCUGAUCUGUAAGCUGCCUCCUCAGUUCCUCAACUCCAUGUAGCCCGGAUCCUACCCCAGCUUCCAGGCCUUCUACUCACCCCUGGGGGAAAAUGAGAGGAAAUAUUUAAUAUUCCAGAAUCUUGUUCUUGGAUUCAACGUGAAAAUAUUGCUCACCUGAAACUCAUCAAUCUGAGACCCAAGGGAUGCCAAAGUCCCUGUCAUCUGCUCAUUAAGCCAAGGGCAUCACACAAAGGCCUACUUCUAACACCUCCUGAAUCUUAAUGAGAGAGAGUAUUGAUCUCUACAAUUUAUGAUCCUACGGCAGUGGGGUGGCUUUUCACACGUGGAACCUCCUCACUUGUGCUCAAUG
rnacentral:lncRNA from 1 species